UGUCCAGACUCCUACGGGAGGCAGCAGUGAGGAAUAUUGGUCAAUGGCCGAGAGGCUGAACCAGCCAAGUCGCGUGAGGGAAGAAUGUCCUAUGGCUUGUAAACCUCUUUUGUCAGGGAGCAAAGUCACCCACGUGUGGGUGUUGGAGAGUACCUGAAGAAAAAGCAUCGGCUAACUCCGUGCCAGCAGCCGCGGUAAUACGGAGGAUGCGAGCGUUAUCCGGAUUUAUUGGGUUUAAAGGGUGCGUAGGCGGAAUGCCAAGUCAGCGGUAAAAUCGCGGGGCUCAACCUCGCUCCGCCGUUGAAACUGGGUGCCUUGAGUGGGCGAGAAGUACGCGGAAUGCGUGGUGUAGCGGUGAAAUGCAUAGAUAUCACGCAGAACUCCGAUUGCGAAGGCAGCGUACCGGCGCCCAACUGACGCUGAAGCACGAAGGCGUGGGUAUCGAACAGGAUUAGAUACCCCUGUA
rnacentral:rRNA from 1 species